rnacentral:rRNA from 1 species
GGUUCUAAAGUAAAUUCAUAACAUGAAUAUAAUAGAACUAAAAGGACGCGGUAACCUUGACCGUGAUAAUGUAGCAUAAUCACUCGCCAUUUAAUUGGUGGAUAGUAUGAAUGGUUGAACGAAUAUCCCACUGUCUUAAAGAAAAUUAAUAGAAAUUGACAUAAUAGUUAAGAUGCUAUUUUAAACUGUAAGACGAAAAGACCCUAUAGAGCUUAACUAUAAUCUCUAUGUAUAAGAUAAAUUAAUAAUUUAUAAUUUAUAGAGAUUGGUAGUUUAGUUGGGGCGACUAUCUUUUAAAUGUAACAAAGAUAAGCAAUAUUAAUAAAUAAUUUAUUGUAUAAUUAAUUUAUUUAACAAUUAUAAAAAUAGGCUAUAAUGACCCGUUAAUACUUUAUAAACAGAUUAACGAUCAAUUGAUAAAAGCUACCUUAGGGAUAACAGGAUAAUUUCAUUUUAGAGCUCCUAUCGAAAAUGAAGUUUGUCACCUCUAUGUUGAAUUAA